UACAGAGGUCCCAAGCGUUGUUCGGAUUCACUGGGCGUAAAGGGUGCGUAGGUGGCGAGGUAAGUUUGAUGUGAAAUCUCCGGGCUUAACCCGGAAAUGGCAUUGAAUACUAUCUGGCUAGAGGGUUGAAGGGGGGACUGGAAUUCUCGGUGUAGCAGUGAAAUGCGUAGAUAUCGAGAGGAACACCAGUGGCGAAGGCGAGUCCCUGGACAACUCCUGACACUGAGGCACGAAAGCUAGGGUAG
rnacentral:rRNA from 1 species